rnacentral:misc_RNA from 1 species
GAUGAAGAACGCAGCGAAAUGCGAUAAGUAGUGUGAAUUGCAGAAUUCAGUGAAUCAUCGAAUCUUUGAACGCACAUUGCGCCCCUUGGUAUCCGAGGGGCAUGCCUGUUCGAGCGUCAUUUCACCACUCAAGCCUGGCUUGGUGUUGGGCGACGUCCCCUUUGGGGACGCGCCUCGAAACGCUCGGCGGCGUGGCACCGGCUUUAAGCGUAGCAGAAUCUUUCGCUUUGGAAGUCGGGGCCCCGUCUGCCGGAAGACCUACUCGCAAGGUUGACCUCGGAUCAGGCAGGGAUACCCGCUGAACUUAAGCAUAUCAAUAAGCGGAGGA